GACGAACGCUGGCGGCGUGCCUAAUACAUGCAAGUCGAACGAAGCUGUUUUAACUGGUGCUUGCACCGACUUAAACAACUGAGUGGCGAACGGGUGAGUAACACGUGGGUAACCUGCCCCAAAGCGGGGGAUAACAUUUGGAAACAGAUGCUAAUACCGCAUAACCACAGAAACCACAUGGUUUCUGUGUCAAAGAUGGUUUCGGCUAUCACUUUGGGAUGGACCCGCGGCGUAUUAGCUAGUUGGUAAGGUAAUGGCUUACCAAGGCAAUGAUACGUGGCCGAACUGAGAGGUUGAUCGGCCACAUUGGGACUGAGACACCGCCCAAAAUCCUACGGGAGGCAGCAGUAGGGAAUCUUCACAAUGGGCGAAAGCCUGAUGGAGCAACACCGCGUGAGUGAAGAAGGGUUUCGGCUCGUAAAACUCUGUUGUUAAAGAAGAACGUAUCUAAGAGUAACUGCUUAGGUAGUGACGGUAUUUAACCAGAAAGCCACGGCUAACUACGUGCCAGCGCCGCAGUAA
rnacentral:rRNA from 1 species